GAGAGCUCUUUCUUGAUUCUGUGGGUGGUGGUGCAUGGCCGUUCUUAGUUGGUGGAGUGAUUUGUCUGCUUAAUUGCGAUAACGAACGAGACCUUAACCUGCUAAAUAGCCCGUACUGCUUUGGCAGUUCGCCGGCUUCUUAGAGGGACUAUCGGCUCAAGCCGAUGGAAGUUUGAGGCAAUAACAGGUCUGUGAUGCCCUUAGAUGUCCUGGGCCGCACGCGCGUUACACUGACAGAGCCAGCGAGUAUUUCCUUGACCGGAAGGUCCGGGUAAUCUUGUUAAACUCUGUCGUGCUGGGGAUAGAGCAUUGCAAUUAUUGCUCUUCAACGAGGAAUCCCUAGUAAGCGCAAGUCAUCAGCUUGCGUUGAUUACGUCCCUGCCCUUUGUACACACCGCCCGUCGCUACUACCGAUUGAAUGGCUCAGUGAGACCUCC
rnacentral:rRNA from 1 species